CGUUAGUGUGAACCAGGUCUUACUUCUCGAAAAUAUAACUCAUAUAAUCAACAACAAUUCAAUAAUCUUACUUGCCGAACCGAGUAUUACAGUCUUUAUUUUCGAAUAAAAUAGUGCCUUUACAAUAAAUCUACAUUUGUACGAACUCAUCGUACAUAAUUAAUAAAUAAAUAAUAUAGGUCUUUAGAUCAGUUACAGAAGAGAUAAUUGUCAACCUAGUCUGCAUAUCAUUGAUGUAUUUCCGCCCAAUUUUGUCGCAGCUACGCAUUGAUUUGCACCUUUCCCACCAUAGCUGGUUGUAAAUUUACUACCAAUAAUUGUCUCUCCAGGUUUUGGAAGUCUGGGAGCAUAACUGGAAGAUAAAAGAACAAAAAUGUCAAUUACAUAACAGAUCAUAUGACGCUUACCUGCUGUCUCGUUCGUUUUAAAUUUCUAUUGAUUUGACAGACAUAGCAAGGUUAUAAUAAACAUACGUAAUACCUACGUUGUAAAGUCUACACUACAUGAUCCUAAAACCACUAUUUUGGGUACUAAAUCGUUUCCACAAUUCAUGUUGAGCAUUAAAUAAUGGGAUCGUGUCUAAAAAAA